rnacentral:lncRNA from 1 species
AGAAUCGCCCAGAGUUUUAAAAAACGCCAAUGCCUGUGUCUCAUCUCCAGGGAUUUUGCUUUAAUUGGUACAAGAUGGAGGCUAUUCUAUGUAGUUACUCCUUGGUAAUUAGCCAUCUGUAUGGUAUUUCUAAGUUCCUACGUUUUAUCAGCUGCAAGCCUGCGAGGAUUGGUGGAGUUUUUCUGCUGAACUGAAUUCUGCAUAGCCGUGCUCACUGUGCAGAAAGGUUGCAGUGCUUCUACUUGCUUUAAUCCAUUUUCUCUCACUUCCUUGCUCUUUUUCUCAGAGGAGGCAAGUAGCUGCCGUGACAGCAGCAAUAGCUGAUCAUCACAGCAAAUACCAAAGAAAAACUCAGCUACCUCCUGGAUAUUUUUGUUCCACUGAGGAUUAAUUUACCGUGCUUUUUUUCAUUUUUCUCUCCAUCCUGCAAAAACUUUUAUUUUUUCUUUUCUUUUUUUUUUUUUUUUGCAAGAAACAAACCAUGAACUUCUUGCUGAGAAACAUAAGCAAAGAGUUUUAGCACAGCUGCUCUGUCUCUUUGGGACAAAUUAGAAAAUUCUGAAGCAAGCAGAAGCAUAGUAAGUGCUUUCUUUUAAAGCUACUUCUGGGCAGAGGGGAGGCUAUUGUAAUGGUAAAUUUCACUUGGAGAGGAAGAAAGGGUUGAUAAUCAAUCAAAAAUUCGGUAUUCGUUUGAGGUUUUCAAUUCUCUUGCUAUAUUGUGAAACUUUUAAUUUUCUCUGUAAAAUAUACAGAAAAAAGUUUUGUGUGUGUGUGUGUGUGUGUGUGAAAUAAAAGUUUUGAGAGUGACAUAGAAGUUUUGUUUUGUUUUCAAACGGAGUGGGGAGAUACCUAGCACUGCGGGGCUUCAGUGAGAUCCCGGAAUCCCAGGAGGAGAAUUUACAUUCAGAAAUGUUGAAGUGAAAAAUCCUCCUGGUUCAGCAUCUUGGAGUUAAGCUCAGAAGAACAUUUUACAUCUGAAAGAAUUCGUUUCUCCAAACCUCGCUUUUGGCCGGCAAGUAUCACGAAGGAUGGGAUCAGAUGGUAUGAAUAGAAGCACUGCUCUGAAUCGGCUUCAGGCAUUUAACAUUUAACUGGAGGGAUCAUGCGUUGGGCACGAUGAAGACCACGGACAACUUCGAUGAGACUGCGGCCACAUUAAGCCUUAACACAACCCUCAGGGGCAGGUACGUUUAUCUGGAAGCAUUCCUGCAGGGAGGAGCUCCCUGGGGCUUUACUUUGCUGGUGGCCUGGAGCACGGAGAACCACUAAUUAUCUCGAAGGUAUGUUUCAUUUUGUAACAUUGUCUUUACUCACAUUGCUUUUUCAACUUUCAGACUCUGUCAGGUCUGUCAAAAAUGCAACCAUAAUGCCAAGGAUUGCCUGAGUAUGGCUUAAUUUGCUGUUGCAUACCUUUCAGAUUAUAUCUGCAAAUAUUCUGUAUGGCUUGGCGUCUGAAAGAAAAAAAAUGUGUCUAGCUCAUUGAGUCUAUGAAAUCCCCGGGGAAAUAAUGUGCUCGCUCAAUGGAUAAUCUCUCUUUGUGAAUGAAAUAGUGUAAAAGCAGCUACCACAUGAUCUUUUCAGUUGUGAAUCAGAUUAAAGAUUAACAACAUGAAGUAGUGGCAUGUAUAUGCCUUUUUUUUAGCAUAAGGCUAGAAAAAGAUCUGGUCUUUCUCCUGUCAAAUGACAAUAUCUAGCAUUCUAGGAUAUUUUAGAAGUUGUUUAUAAUUCUGGAAUAAUUGGUUACAUAAAUAUUUAUUGCUUUUUGCACACUCAGAAAGGAGAAGUAAAUCAACUUUCUGUAUAAAUCAAAUGCAAAACACCAUUUCUGCCUUUUUUAUAUACCUAUGUUUUUAAACCAAUUUUUAAACCGUCAUCAGUAACACAUCUCAGUUCUUUUUCUCUCGUAUGACUAGGUAUACCCACUGAAUGAAUCUUUUUUAUGUAUUAGGCUUAGUAUUGCUGCCUCUCUUUUCAACUACAGAGAUGAAGAGAGAUCACAGAAAUUCCUUCUAAAUGUUCAGGACAUUAACAGUCUAAAACAAUGGAAUAUAAAUGCUUCUUACACAUAUGCAUUACUUAAGAAGCAUUUGUAAUGGAGGGGACAAGUGUUUUAUUUUGAGGCUGGGAAAUGGAUAAAUACACAUUUUGCCCAAACUCUGUAACUUAUUUAGGUUAGUUUCCAUAUUCCUAAAAGUGUAUGUUUUGAGAGGGAUGGAAAUGGACUCUUACGUGAAUAAUUGGUUUCCAGCAGUCAGCCAAGAUGUGCAAGAUGUAAGGUUUGUGACUUUUCCUUGUCUUUUCUAAGAAAACAAAAGAUAUAUGUAUACAUAUGUGUAUAAGUUAGGAAGGUAUCCAGCUAUAAGUAACUGCAAACCUGACUGGUAAUGGCCUAAUUAAAUUGGGGUUUGUUUUUCUCGUAUUGUGAGAUGUCUGGAGGUAGGCUGUCUGUGCAAGGGGCCACAGGUCAGUUGUGUCAACACGGACUUCGAUGAUCUCUCCACUCUGCCAUCCCUAUGAUCUUGGCUUUUGUCUUCGUGGUUACAUGAUGGAUGCCAUACCUCCAGUAUUACAUCUUUAUUCUGGGCAGAGUUUUGGCUUUUUGUUUGGAAAGAGAAACCCUCCCUAACAGACUUUUGCCUAUAUCUCAUUAACUAAAAUUGUGCCACAUACCUGUCUUCAGACCAGUUACUGGUCAAGGGUCAUGAGAUUAUCAUGACUAGUUUAGACCAGUCAGGAUUUCUUUCCUGGGUUCUGGAAUAGGAGCCUACCUUUCCUGAUGUCAAGGAAUCUCUGCCCAUUGUUUGAAUAAAUUGGAGUUCUCUUUUCAAGAGGAAGGAGGAAAUGGGUGCUACAUAGACAACCGAGAAUGUCUGCUACAAAUAUAAGUAUCAUAUCUGAAUUUUAGAAUUCUGGUUGUAUACCCAAUUUGCAUGGCCUUAUGUGACAAGAUAUUAUGUGUCUGUAUGCUGGAAUGCAGUUUGCUGUAGGACAAGCCAGCUGCUACCACUAAUGAGCCACUCCUUUAAAGCUCCAUUUAAUCUCCUUUAUCAGAAUGUAUGGGGAUUAUUAAAUGAGACAGUGCAUUUAGCACAGUUAGCAUAAUGCCUGGCACAUAAAGGAGCUCACAAAAAGAUCUCAGCAAAGAUUAUGGUUAUUGCUUUUUAUUAUUUUAGGGGACAUUUGUAUUAGGAUACAGAUUUGGCUGCUAUACAAAGAUGCAAAAUAACACUCAAAUAAUAUGUGAGUUCCUAUCAUUCUCACAUCACAAUCUGAGCAUAAACCAAACUGAAAGAUGGCUUCAUGAUAGACACAGGCAGAGGGAGAAGCAGGCUCUACGCAGGGAGCCCGACGUGGGACUCGAUCCCGGGUCUACAGGAUCACGCCCUGGGCUGUAGGCGGCACUAAACCUCUGAGCCACUGGGGCUGCCCUGAUUACAAUGAUUUUGCAAUGAAUUACAUGCAAUGAUUACAUGAAAUUAUAAUUGUUUAGUCAUGUUGACUGUCUUCUCAGAAGUGUAAGAGCUUCUUCAGGGCGGGACUGUUUUCAUUUCUACCACCUCUAACACAAGUUGCCCGGUACGCAAAUAUUUGUUGAGUAAAUGAGAAGACAUGUCUUAUUCAUCUUGCAUUUCCAGGAUCUACUGGAGUCCUUGGCACAGCAUAUGUGCUCAGUAACUUCUAUUGCAUUAAUAAGCUUAGAUGAAACAGAGCAGUGUGCAGGGGAAGGAGGGGAGGUAGUGUCCAAUGAGAUGAAGAUGCCUGGCAGAUCUCAGAGAUGGAGCGUUUAUUAGUUUCCCAUUGCUGCUGCAAAAUUUACAACAAACGCAGUGGAUUAAGCCAUGGUUAGCAUAGGUCUUCACUGGGCUAAGAUCAAGGUGUCGGCAAGGCUGUGUUCCCUCUGGAGGUUGGAGGGGAGAAGCUAUUUCCUUGCCCUUUCCAGCUUCUAGAGGCUGCCCCCAGUCCCUGACAUACAGUCCCCUUCCUCCAUCUGCAAAGUCAGCAACAGCAGAUUAAAUCUCUUGCUCUGAUCUCUAACUUCUGCCUCACUCUUUUAAUUUUAAGGACCCUCGGGAGUAUAUUGGGCCCACCAAGAUAAUCUCCCUGUUUUAAGAUCAGCUGAGUAACAACCUUAAUUCCAUCUGCAAAGUUCAUUCCCCUUUGCCAUAUAAUCUAACAUAUUCACAGUUUCCAGCGGUUAGAACAUGGAUGUCUUUGCAGGGAGAGGGUUUUAUUUUGCCUGCCACCAACCAUUUGAGCCUGAUGAAAGUCCAUAUAAGUAGGACCAUAUUAGAGAUGAGACCGAAGUGAAAUUUAGUAGUUGAUCAUGCAUAUCCCCGAUCUUUCUUUCUUUUUUUUUUUUCUAAAGAUUUUAUUUAUUUAUUUAUUCAUAGACACAGAGAGAGAGAGGCAGAGACACAGGCAAAGGGAGAAGCGGGCUCCAUGCAGGGAGCCCGAUGUGGGACUUGAUCCCGGGUCUCCAGGAUCACACCCCAGGCUGCAGGCGGCGCCAAACCGCUGUGCCACCAAACCGCUGCGCCACCGGGGCUGCCCAUCCCUGAUCUUUCUAGGACAAAGAAAAAAGGGACCACCAGGUCACGGGCACACCAGCUCAUACAUGGUAGCCAGAUGUCCCCUAUUCUCUCAAAGUAGGGUGACCCCUGUUGUAGGGGAAGGGAAAGGAUAGUACACAUUGAAUCAUACAGGUGGAAGGCAUCUACACUUAUAUAAAAGCAGUUAUGAGCUGCCAGGUAUCAUGACAAUAUAAUGAAUGAAGUAUUUUUUCUUUAGGUACCAAUGAGGCAGGAGAAUGAAUGGGGGAAGGAACUACAAAAGGGUGGCAAUAAAAGAAAUCAUUUUCAAAUCUUUUUCUUUGAGAUUUAAUGUCCUUGAAAAGAAAAGGGGUGGGGUGGAAGAAUAAGCCUCUGUAAUCUGCGAACUUCAAAAAGAAAGGGCAACUUUUUUUUUCCAGUAGUGAUUGUAUGUGGAAGCUCAAGUAAUUCAAUAGUUCGGGAAGUUGGCAGCAUGAUUAUUAUGACUCACUCUGCAUUGUGGCUGAAAACAGCAGCUCCACCUGCAGUAGGAAUGCACCUGUUCCAGGGUUCAUAAAUCAAGUUAUAAGUAUAAUAGCAAUAAAGAACAACUAAUGUCACUUACUGUGAGCCCUUACUCCUUGACAGGCUCUAUUCCAAGACAUCCACAUGUGUUAACUCAUUUAAUUUCCAUAGCUCCAUGAGGAAGAUGAUAGAUUUUGCAAAUUUAUCCAUAAGAAACUGAACACGGUAUUUGAGUAACUUUCUGCAGCAUACACAGCUAGUAAAUGAUAGAAUUGGAAUUUGAAUCCAGGCAUUCUGGUUCCCCUGGGUCUAUGCACUUAACACACUAUACCAUUCAGUCAUCAUUGCCUACUAGAUAUUUGGCUCUGUCUAGAUUAAGAGCUAUUACUUGGGUAAGAUAUAGGAUUGAUCUUUUGCUUUGUAUGUUUUUAAAUUUGUUAGAGGAAAACAAUCUUUAAAAAAAAAAA